UACGUAGGGUGCAAGCGUUAAUCGGAAUUACUGGGCGUAAAGCGUGCGCAGGCGGUUAUGCAAGACAGAUGUGAAAUCCCCGGGCUUAACCUGGGAACUGCAUUGUGACUGCAUAGCUAGAGUACGGUAGAGGGGGAUGGAAUUCCGCGUGUAGCAGUGAAAUGCGUAGAUAUGCGGAGGAACACCGAUGGCGAAGGCAGUCCCCUGGACCUGUACUGACGCUCAUGCACGAAAGCGUGGGGAGCAAACAGG
rnacentral:rRNA from 1 species